rnacentral:rRNA from 1 species
AGCAGUCGCCACGGGAAUACGGAGGGAGCUAGCGUUGUUCGGAAUUACUGGGCGUAAAGCGCACGUAGGCGGCUUUGUAAGUCAGAGGUGAAAGCCUGGAGCUCAACUCCAGAACUGCCUUUGAGACUGCAUCGCUUGAAUCCAGGAGAGGUGAGUGGAAUUCCGAGUGUAGAGGUGAAAUUCGUAGAUAUUCGGAAGAACACCAGUGGCGAAGGCGGCUCACUGGACUGGUAUUGACGCUGAGGUGCGAAAGCGUGGGGAGCAAACAGGAUUAGAUACCCCAGUAGUCCCUGUCUCUUAUAC